rnacentral:rRNA from 1 species
AUGUAUCUAUCAUGUGAUUUCCCUCGAUGCAUGCAUUUAGUUUCCAUUAGAUCCCUCCUCCGACGCCCCUCCUCCCCCAUCCCCGGCCAUCCCCCUUCCAUCACCCUUAAUGUCCCAGUCGCCGCUCUCUCUCUCUCUCUCCCUCUCGGUUCAGUGAGAUGGGAUCCACUCCCGCAGCCACCGCCCCACCCUCACACUCACCAUCGACGACCCCCGCCGCCAUCGCACACCAUAGCGCCAUCCCCUCACCCUAGCCCCAGGUCAGGCAGACGACGAGUACGCCGACCCGGCAGUCAUCAUCGCCUCCGAGACGGACGCGUGUUGGCGGCACAUGGGGCCCACAUCAUCAUGGCCGUGCGCAACCUCGCCGCGGCAGAGGCCGUGCGCCAGGUCGUCCUUGCCGAGACCCCCGUCGCCAGCCUCAACCUGAUAGAGCUGGACCUCUCCCCACUGACCUCCAUCCGCAACUUCGCCGCCAACUUCGCCGACAGGGGCCUACCGCUGAACAUCCUCAUUUGUUUUGCGCAUUGUCUUGUAUUGCCUUCCCUGGUAGCUCAUAGCCUGGGAGAUAGGAUGCAGAAAUUGGAUGAAGAUGAUCACAUUGUUCCUCUUUCCAUAAUCCUUCAUAUUUUCUGCGUGCUGCUAUCAACUGAAUUUAAUCAUCUUUCUUUGAUGACAAUUCAACAUACCCCUGCCCUUUCGGAGAGGGAAGGUUUCCCACUCAUGGACACCUAGCUGAAUGCCUGAACCUGAACCUCGUUUUUCUUCUUCUUCUUCUUCUUCUUCUUCUUCUUGGUAAUUCCUUGUUGAUUCCUUCUGGGCAUGCUAUAUUAUUGGGUGCAACAACAAAUUAUUGUCCUUGUUUUGAUUUCCUUCCUGUCAAGUUCAUCCUUUAGUGCUAGUACUAGUGGUACAUCAGUUUGAUUUAGGAAAAACACCAGCCUCUGCUUAACAUUAAAUCUAGUCAAGCAAUUGAUGCACAACAUAUUUGUUUUUGUACAACAACAAUCCGUUAAACGAUCUGGCCUGUAUACACAUGUUGAGGAAGAGAGAGAGGAUAUAUACUUGUUCUGUUGCUUCUAUAUACAUGUAUAUACGUUUAGUUAUUCAACAUGCU